AUUGAACGCUGGCGGCAGGCCUAACACAUGCAAGUCGAGCGGAUGAGUGGAGCUUGCUCCAUGAUUCAGCGGCGGACGGGUGAGUAAUGCCUAGGAAUCUGCCUGGUAGUGGGGGACAACGUUUCGAAAGGAACGCUAAUACCGCAUACGUCCUACGGGAGAAAGUGGGGGAUCUUCGGACCUCACGCUAUCAGAUGAGCCUAGGUCGGAUUAGCUAGUUGGUGAGGUAAAGGCUCACCAAGGCGACGAUCCGUAACUGUUCUGAGAGGAUGAUCAGUCACGCUGGAACUGAGACACGGUCCAGACUCCUACGGGAGGCAGCAGUGGGGAAUAUUGGACAAUGGGCGAAAGCCUGAUCCAGCCAUGCCGCGUGUGUGAAGAAGGUCUUCGGAUUGUAAAGCACUUUAAGUUGGGAGGAAGGGCAGUAAGUUAAUACCUUGCUGUUUUGACGUUACCAACAGAAUAAGCACCGGCUAACUUCGUGCCAGCAGCCGCAGUAACAC
rnacentral:rRNA from 1 species